rnacentral:tRNA from 1 species
GGGAUUGUGGCUUAGUGGUAGUGUGCUUGCCUAACAUGCAUGAAGUCCUGGGUUCAAUUCCUCAGUACCA